rfam:Schistosoma rodhaini strain Burundi genome assembly, scaffold: SROB_scaffold0011121
AUCCAGCUGACGAGUCCUAAAUGGGACGAAACGCGCGUCCUGGAU